UUUAAUUCGAUGCAACGCGAAGAACCUUACCAAGGCUUGACAUCCUCGGAAUCCUCUUGAAAGGGGGGAGUGCCUUCGGGAACCGAGAGACAGGUGGUGCAUGGCUGUCGUCAGCUCGUGUCGUGAGAUGUUGGGUUAAGUCCCGCAACGAGCGCAACCCACGUUUUUAGUUGCCAGCAUUCAGUUGGGCACUCUAGAGAGACUGCCGGUGACAAACCGGAGGAAGGUGUGGAUGACGUCAAGUCAGCAUGCCCCAUACGCCUUGGGCUACACACGUACUACAAUGCUACGGACAAAGGGCAGCCAGCCAGCGAUGGUGAGCCAAUCCCAUAAACCGUAGCUCAGUUCAGAUUGCAGGCUGCAACUCGCCUGCAUGAAGGCGGAAUCGCUAGUAAUCGCAGGUCAGCAUACUG
rnacentral:rRNA from 1 species